rnacentral:rRNA from 1 species
AUGGAUGGAAGGCGUACCUUAUCAUUUGGCGGCAAAGAGGUGUUAAUAAAAGCGGGGGCCCAAGCCAUCCCAACUUAUGCGAUGAGUGUUUUCAAAUUCCCGAAAAAAAAUUGCAAAGGGAUCACCGAUGCAAUGUCGAAGUACUGGUGGGGUGAUGAGGAUGAUCAACACAAAGUGCAUUGGGUCGCUUGGUGGAAGAUGUGCGUCCCGAAAGAAAAAGGUGGAAUGGGAUUUAGAGAUAUUCCAUGCUCAAAUCUUGCACUAUUAGCAAAGUAAUGCUGGAGGUUAAUUGAGAACUAUGACUCGUUAUGUGCAAGAGUGAUGCGUGCAAGAUACUACCCUACAUGCGAUAUCCUUAAUUGCACGUAA